CAGCAUGCUGAUCUAGUUCUAUGGUAGCACUAAAAUAUGACUUAAGGAAACCAUGUCAUGUUUAGUUUUCAGAAGAUGUAAGAAUGAAAAGAAAGGGAGAUAUUUCUGAUAUUUUAUAAAGAGAAAGGACACAGAUCAGGCUGAGACAGACCACAGCCUCAGUGUCACAACCCCCGACCAACAUGGAGCCAGCCUCACAAGUCAUCAAACACCCCACACUGCACCCCCAAAAGACCGACAGGGAAGUAAUCCCUCAUGCAUUCCCAAAGUUUGAGGCCACACAGGAAGGGCGCCCUGCGGCCACCACGUGCAGGUGUGUCGUAGUCA